rnacentral:rRNA from 1 species
UACGAAGGGGGCUAGCGUUGCUCGGAAUCACUGGGCGUAAAGGGUGCGUAGGCGGGUCUUUAAGUCAGGGGUGAAAUCCUGGAGCUCAACUCCAGAACUGCCUUUAAGACUGCAUCGCUAGAAUUGUGGAGAGGUAAGUGGAAUUCCGAGUGUAGAGGUGAAAUUCGUAGAUAUUCGGAAGAACACCAGUGGCGAAGGCGACUUACUGGACACAUAUUGACGCUGAGGUGCGAAAGCGUGGGGAGCAAACAGG